GGUAAAUGGCAUAAGGAAACUGCCCAGUAGAGGGGGAUAGCCCGGGGAAACCCGGAUUAAUACCGCGUACGCCCUUCGGGGGAAAGCAGGGGAUCUUCGGACCUUGCGCUAUUGGAUGUGCCUAUGUCGGAUUAGCUAGUUGGUGGGGUAAAGGCCUACCAAGGCGACGAUCCGUAGCUGGUCUGAGAGGAUGAUCAGCCACAUCGGGACUGAGACACGGCCCGAACUCCUACGGGAGGCAGCAGUGGGGAAUAUUGGACAAUGGGGGCAACCCUGAUCCAGCCAUGCCGCGUGUGUGAAGAAGGCUUUCGGGUUGUAAAGCACUUUCAGUGAGGAGGAAAACUCUGCGACUAAUACUCGUAGGGCUUGACGUUACUCACAGAAGAAGCACCGGCUAACUCCGUGCCAGCAGCCGCGGUAAUACGGAGGGUGCAAGCGUUAAUCGGAAUUACUGGGCGUAAAGCGCGCGUAGGUGGUUUGAUAAGCGAGAUGUGAAAGCCCCGGGCUUAACCUGGGAACGGCAUUUCGAACUGUCAGGCUAGAGUGUGGUAGAGGGUAGUGGAAUUUCCUGUGUAGCGGUGAAAUGCGUAGAUAUAGGAAGGAACACC
rnacentral:rRNA from 1 species